rnacentral:lncRNA from 1 species
UUUUCUUUUCUUUAUUGUCACAUUUGUUUCAUAUUUUUUGAUGGUUCAAAGAUUCUUUAUCUCUUAGAUUUAAUUUGUGUACUUAUUGAAGAACUAAACCAAGUUCUUUGAUCAUUAAUUGGCAUUUUUUAUUCACUCAGCAAAAAGGAUUUUCUUAUGUGUACCAUUUCAUAGAUUAAGAAAAUUUUUACAAUUACACCUGUUGUUAUUUGCAGGGAGCAAUUUAUGAGUUAUUUCCAACGAUUUUUAAAUGGUUAGAUUUGUUCAAAACACAUCAAAACCAAAACAUUUCAUCUUCAAAGUGAGACAAGUGCAAUAGUCUAUCAACACUUAGUAAAAAACUAAGUAGGAGCAUUACACUUGUAGUCAUUCUUACAAUUACAAAUAUUGUCAGUUGCAAGUAGGGGCUUAAAAAAAAUGAGCAACUUUCAAUGGCUUUGUUGGUCUGAUUCCUUCAAAAUCAUAGGAAAAACAAACAUUUCACCUUCAAAAUUAGAUGUAUGUAAUUGUAAAAGUUUAUGCUACAUUUCAUGAAAAAUGUAACAGGAAGUAUUUUAAUGGACAAUUCCUAUAUUUAUUGUCACAUUUAUCUGACCCACCAUCCACUCACUCAUAUGCUAUCAGCACCACAAAUACAAAAAACCCUCCUAUUGCCCAGUUGAUGACCUAAUACAUGUUCAAGUUGGACUUCAGUGGUAUCUAUCUUGAAAAUUAGACUACAAAGGUCAUGGACGGGUACUGCUACCUCUUCAGAUGAAGACAAAAAAAAUCUGUGUGAUAACUAAUUUCACUGGACCAUUUGAGCAUUAAGUGCCUUGACCACAGAAGACUUCUAUGUCACUGCCAGAGUUAUGAACUGCCAAUUCAUUAUCUGGUCGAUGGUACCAUAUCCACUAAACUUUUGUACCUUAUGGUACCUAAUCACAACUAAGAUGACCAGGACGUUGAAGAGUUAAGUAUUUCUCCAUAGAUUUACUAUAGCUCCAGUGUGAGAGAUAUCAGCUAAUAAUCUAUUGUCUAGUUCUUCAAUGGUCUGUUUAUCAGCUAUACAUGUUCUAUAUGGUUGGUGUAUAGGUGGGAGGCUUUUUUCAAAUAUAAGAUAAAAUGGGUUACACACGUGACCACUUGAACCAAGGUUUCGUUCAAUCAGCUUUACUGCUCAAAUGUACACACAUGCACACGUGUGUAUGUAAAAUUAUCAUUUUCCAGUGAUCAGGUCAGUCAUAUAUAUAUAUAUAUAUAUA